rnacentral:rRNA from 1 species
AUUGAACGCUGGCGGCAGGCUUAACACAUGCAAGUCGAGCGGGGGAAGGUAGCUUGCUACCGGACCUAGCGGCGGACGGGUGAGUAAUGCUUAGGAAUCUGCCUAUUAGUGGGGGACAACAUCUCGAAAGGGAUGCUAAUACCGCAUACGUCCUACGGGAGAAAGCAGGGGAUCUUGUGACCUUGCGCUAAUAGAUGAGCCUAAGUCGGAUUAGCUAGUUGGUGGGGUAAAGGCCUACCAAGGCGACGAUCUGUAGCGGGUCUGAGAGGAUGAUCCGCCACACUGGGACUGAGACACGGCCCAGACUCCUACGGGAGGCAGCAGUGGGGAAUAUUGGACAAUGGGGGGAACCCUGAUCCAGCCAUGCCGCGUGUGUGAAGAAGGCCUUAUGGUUGUAAAGCACUUUAAGCGAGGAGGAGGCUACUCUAGUUAAUACCUAGGGAUAGUGGACGUUACUCGCAGAAUAAGCACCGGCUAACUCUGUGCCAGCCGCCGCGGUAA